UACGUAGGAGGACGAGCGUUGUCCGGAGUUACUGGGCGUAAAGCGCACGUAGGUGGCUGGGUAAGUUGGAUGUGAAAUCCCCGGGGCUUAACUUCGGGAAUUGCAUUCAAGACUGCCUUGCUCGAGUACUGGAGAGGGAACUGGAAUUUACGGUGUAGCAGUGAAAUGCGUAGAGAUCGUAAGGAAGGCCAGUGGCGAAGGCGAGUUCCUGGACAGUUACUGACGCUGAGGCACGAAGGCCAGGGGAGCAA
rnacentral:rRNA from 1 species